GACGAACGCUGGCGGCGUGCUUAACACAUGCAAGUCGAGCGGAGCGGCGAACGGGUGAGUAACGCGUGAGUAACUGCCCCCCUCCCUGGGAAAACAGUUGGAAACGGCUCCUAAUACCGGAUAGUGGGGGAUGACUCGGGUCCUAGCGGCUUGUGGGUGGGGGAGUGGCUUACCAGGGCGACGCCGGGUAGCCGGCCUGGGAGGGCGACCGGCCACAUUGGGCUGAGGUACGGCCCAAACUCCUACGGGAGGCAGCAGUGGGGAAUAUUGCACAAUGGGGGAAACCCUGAUGCAGCAACGCCGCGUGCGGGAUGACGGCCUUCGGGUUGUAAACCGCUUUCAGCCAUGACGCGGUAGUGGCAGAAGAAGCACCGGCUAACUACGUGCCAGCAGCCGCGGUAAUAC
rnacentral:rRNA from 1 species